rnacentral:rRNA from 1 species
UGACCGCUGGCGGCGUGCCUACUACAUGCACGUCGAGCGAACAGACGAGGAGCUUGCUCCUCUGACGUUAGCGGCGGACGGGUGAGUAACACGUGGAUAACCUACCUAUAAGACUGGGAUAACUUCGGGAAACCGGAGCUAAUACCGGAUAAUAUAUUGAACCGCAUGGUUCAAUAGUGAAAGACGGUUUUGCUGUCACUUAUAGAUGGAUCCGCGCCGCAUUAGCUAGUUGGUAAGGUAACGGCUUACCAAGGCAACGAUGCGUAGCCGACCUGAGAGGGUGAUCGGCCACACUGGAACUGAGACACGGUCCAGACUCCUACGGGAGGCAGCAGUAGGGAAUCUUCCGCAAUGGGCGAAAGCUUGACGGAGCAACGCCGCGUGAGUGAUGAAGGUCUUCGGAUCGUAAAACUCUGUUAUUAGGGAAGAACAAAUGUGUAAGUAACUAUGCACGUCUUGACGGUACCUAAUCAGAAAGCCACGGCUAACUACGUG